UACGUAGGCAGCGAGCGUUGUUCGGAGUUACUGGGCGUAAAGGGUGUGUAGGCGGUUGUUUAAGUUUGGUGUGAAAUCUCCCGGCUCAACUGGGAGGGUGCGCCGAAUACUGAAUGACUAGAGUGUGGGAGAGGUGAGUGGAAUUCCUGGUGUAGCGGUGAAAUGCGUAGAUAUCAGGAGGAGCACCGGUGGUGUAGACGGCUCACUGGACCAUAACUGACGCUGAGACACGAAAGCGUGGGUAGCAAACAGG
rnacentral:rRNA from 1 species